rnacentral:rRNA from 1 species
UUCAAAUGAAUUGACGGGGGCCCGCACAAGCGGUGGAGCAUGUGGUUUAAUUCGAUGCAACGCGAAGAACCUUACCUACUCUUGACAUCCACGGAAUUUGGCAGAGAUGCCUUAGUGCCUUCGGGAACCGUGAGACAGGUGCUGCAUGGCUGUCGUCAGCUCGUGUUGUGAAAUGUUGGGUUAAGUCCCGCAACGAGCGCAACCCUUAUCCUUUGUUGCCAGCGCGUGAUGGCGGGAACUCAAAGGAGACUGCCGGUGAUAAACUGGAGGAAGGUGGGGAUGACGUCAAGUCAUCAUGGCCCUUACGACCAGGGCUACACACGUGCUACAAUGGCAUAUACAAAGAGAAGCGACCUCGCGAGAGCAAGCGGACCUCAUAAAGUGCGUCGUAGUCCGGAUUGGAGUCUGCAACUCGACUCCAUGAAGUCGGAAUCGCUAGUAAUCGUAGAUCAGAAUGCUACGGUGAAUACG